CCUCUGGAUGACAAAGAGAUGGUAUCAUACAUCCUUUUUGGUCUUGAUGUCAACUUCAAUCCAAUCGUGUCAGCUAUCGUGGCAUGAGUUGAACAGUCUCAGUCAAUGAGUUGUAUGCCUAGUUAUUAAGCUUUGAAA